rnacentral:lncRNA from 1 species
CGCUAUUUGGUUUAGGCGACAGAAACCGUCGCUAAUGGUGUUCUUCACCAACCCAGAUUUCAUAAGGCAGUGAUCGAGAGGGCUACUUUGACCGAGUAUAACUCUCUCAUCCGAACGAAUUUGGACAAUCUAUAAAUUGAGUCUUGUAGUGCUCAUGUAAGACUAUAAUUACCAACAAAAAUCAUGGCUUAACAACAUCAGAGCUGGGAGAUAUUGGCCAUUAAAAUAGCUGUCAUAGCUGUUCUUCACGAAGAACAGUUCGAGGUGCCUACUUUGGACCUCUAUAACUUGCAAUCCAUGUAAUGUUUGUGUGAUCUAUCAAUUCCAGUGUGUAGAACUCAUGUAGGACUACAACUAUAACACAUAAUAUAUAUAUAACAACAACAUAUCUAACUGGAAAUAUCCGGUCAAAGUUCACCAUGAAAAUUGUUCAUAAAAUUCUGGGUUCGUGUUCUUGAGCAGUUUCGGUCAACGGGUUUUGACCAUGAAUAACUCUUGAUAUAUAACAGAUAUGAACUUGAUUCUUUUUGUACCUUAAAGAGCAUAUUACAUACUACAUAUAACAACUUACAAAAACCAAAAAGACUAAAUAAUCCCAGAGAUAUAAGGCCUAACAUUUGCCUAAAAAUAACAGAUUUCGGUUUUUUUUAAAGUUGGAAAAACUUUGAUUUUGAGCACUUUGAUGUUAUGGGUCAUGAAUCUAACAACCCAGAACAUUAAUACACUCCUUUUUACACAUAUUUAACAAAUCAAUUUCAACAAUUAACAUCAAAUCAAAGGAUUUCUAGGAUUAGAGUUUUAUACCUUUCUUGAUCCAAUACUUGAUCUUAUGUUACUGAUUUGUUAUGGGACUUCGUGGGGCUUGAUAAUGGGUCUAGAAUACUACUAUAUUUCGUGGGUUUGAGAGAAAAAUGAGAGUUGGU